rnacentral:rRNA from 1 species
AUGGAGCCAAUUGGCGACGGCGCCACGGCCGUCGUGCGCCGCGCCCGGUGCCUCCCGCUCGGGGGCGAGGUCGUCGCCGUCAAGAUUAUGAACCUCUCCCUCCGCUCCGAAGCUGACGUCAAUAACGCCUCCGAAGAGGUCAAGACCAUGAUCCUGACGGAUCACCCCAACCUCCUCAGCGCCUAUUGCUCCUUCACCCAAGACGAGAACCUGUGGAUCGUCAUGCCCUACAUGGCCGGGGGCUCCUGCUUCCACCUCAUGAAAUCCUCCUUCCCCAAAGGGUUCGAGGAGGAGAGGUUCAUAGCCUUCGUGCUCCGCGAGACGCUGAGGGGCCUCGAGUACCUGCACGGCAAAGGCCACAUACACCGGGAUGUCAAGGCUGGAAACAUAUUGCUUGAUCAGCACAAAGGAGUCAAGCUUGCGGAUUUCGGAAUUAGCGCCAGCGUCUACGACUCGAUGAUCAACAGGAACGGCAAAAGGCACACGCUUGUCGGCACACCUUGCUGGAUGGCACCUGAAGUGAUGGAGCAAAAGGAAUACGACUUCAAGGCAGACAUUUGGUCUUUCGGAAUAACUGCACUAGAACUAGCUAAUGGCCACGCUCCUUUCUCUAGCCAACCUCCAGCAAAGGUCUUUCUGAUGACGUUACAACAUGCUCCUCCAUCUCUUCAUAACACAAAGGACAAGAAGUUUUCAAAUUCAUUUAAGCGAAUGAUUGGUGCAUGUUUGAUAAAAGAUCCAUCCAAGAGGCCAACUGCGCAAAUGUUACUGCAACUUCCGUUCUUCAAAAAAGUGAAGUCUGAGGACAAUCACGUAAGAUGCAUGCUAAAUAAAGUGCCAUCUUUGGUUGCUAGGGUGCAAACUAUAAAGGAGAAUGAAGCAAAGUUGCAAGCAGAGAAGAAACCACACGAUAAAAUCAAAGAGAAGACAUCACAUGACGAAUAUUGGAGAGGUAUUAGUCAGUGGCACUUUGAUAUCGAGGACUUAAAAGCACAGGCUAAGUUGUACUCGGAAGAGAAUGAUAGUGACGAAGAGGAGUACCUGCGUUUCCUAUUUGAACUUGAUACCGUGGAUGAAAUUGUUCCGCUUCAAGAUGUGCGUCCACAAAAUCAUGCUAGUGAUGAUAAGAAGAUUGUAGGUACUGAAAUAGUAGAAACACCAAGCUCAACAACUCCAAUACUGAUACCUCAAAGUGGGAAACAACUUGAGAAUGGACCCCCUAAUGGCCUUGCGCGCCAUGAGUCAUUUGAACGACAUUCGAAAGUACCUACCAAGCAACUUUCCAGAGCAGUUUCCAAUGUUACGUGUAUGGAUGAACAUAUAGAAAAAACGGCCAUUCAAAAGGGUCGUUUUAAAGUAACAACGGAAGAAACGGAAGCAUCUACACACAGGGAGAAGGAACUACUCGAACGUAUUGCAUGUUUAGAGAGGAUGCUCCAGGUUACCCAAGAUGAGGUUGUGAGGCUUAAAGAAAAGGAGGCAAAAGGAGCAGUGCCAUGCGUCCAACAAAAUAAAGUACAUGGGCUAUAG